GUAAGUUCCGUCGCUCCCAACCAGUUCUUCUUCGACCGCGAGUGAACCAUAGCCUUUUCCCGGAGAUAGCCUUUUCUUUAUUGUCAGGAGCUGUAAACAACAUCUUCUUUUUGUUUACAGAGCUUAGUCCUUAUUCUCUUCCUCUAUCUAAGUGAAGAAUUUCUUCUUCAAUCGUUCUUCGCCAAGAGUUGUUUGAAUCCAAGGAGAGUUUUCAAGUGGUCAAGCAAGU
rnacentral:misc_RNA from 1 species